AACGAACGCUGGCGGCAUGCCUAACACAUGCAAGUCGAACGAGACCUUCGGGUCUAGUGGCGCACGGGUGCGUAACGCGUGGGAACCUGCCCUUAGGUUCGGAAUAACUCCCCGAAAGGGGUGCUAAUACCGGAUAAUGUCUUCGGACCAAAGAUUUAUCGCCUUUGGAUGGGCCCGCGUUGGAUUAGCUAGUUGGUAGGGUAAAAGCCUACCAAGGCGACGAUCCAUAGCUGGUCUGAGAGGAUGAUCAGCCACACUGGGACUGAGACACGGCCCAGACUCCUACGGGAGGGAGCAGUGGGGAAUAUUGGACAAUGGGCGAAAGCCUGAUCCAGCAAUGCCGCGUGAGUGACGAAGGCCUUAGGGUUGUAAAGCUCUUUUACCCGGGAUGAUAAUGACAGUACCGAGAGAAUAAGCUCCGGCUAACUCCGUG
rnacentral:rRNA from 1 species